UACCAUAUAGAUAGACCACAACAGUCUGUUUCAUCCGUAUAGGAAUCAUGACCGCCUGAUGAUUCCUAUACGGAUGAAACAGACUGUUGUGGUUUUUUUG